rnacentral:rRNA from 1 species
AAUCCUGGCUCAAGAUGAACGCUAGCGGCAGGCUUAACACAUGCAAGUCGAGGGGCAGCGAGAUCAAAGCUUGCUUUGAUUGUCGGCGACCGGCGCACGGGUGCGUAACGCGUAUGCAACCUACCCACUACAGGGGGGAUAACACUGAGAAAUCGGUACUAAUACCCCAUAAUAUCUUGGAAGGCAUCUUUCGAGGUUGAAAACUCCGGUGGUAGUGGAUGGGCAUGCGUUGUAUUAGCUGGUUGG